CGGAGGAUCCAAGCGUUAUCCGGAAUCAUUGGGUUUAAAGGGUCCGUAGGCGGGUUUAUAAGUCAGUGGUGAAAGCCCAUCGCUCAACGAUGGAACGGCCAUUGAUACUGUAGAUCUUGAAUUAUUAGGAAGUAACUAGAAUAUGUAGUGUAGCGGUGAAAUGCUUAGAGAUUACAUGGAAUACCAAUUGCGAAGGCAGGUUACUACUAAUGGAUUGACGCUGAUGGACGAAAGCGUGGGUAGCGAACAGGAUUAGAUACCCUGGUAGUCCACGCCGUAAACGAUGGAUACUAGCUGUUCCGAGCAAUCUGAGUGGCUAAGCGAAAGUGAUAAGUAUCCCACCUGGGGAGUACGUUCGCAAGAAUG
rnacentral:rRNA from 1 species